rnacentral:rRNA from 1 species
AACGAACGCUGGCGGCAUGCCUAACACAUGCAAGUCGAACGAACCCUUCGGGGCUAGUGGCGGACGGGUGCGUAACACGUGGGAACGUGCCCUUAGGUUCGGAAUAACUCAGGGAAAGGGGUGCUAAUACCGAAUGUGGUCUUCGGGGGAAAGAUUUAUCGCCUUUGGAUCGGCCCGCGUUUGAUUAGCUAGUUGGUAGGGUAAAAGCUCACCAAGGCGACGAUCAGUAGCUGGUCUGAGAGGAUGAUCAGCCACAUUGGGACUGAGACACGGCCCAGACUCCUACGGGAGGCAGCAGUGGGGAAUCUUGCACAAUGGGCGAAAGCCUGACGCAGCCAUGCCGCGUGAAUGAUGAAGGUCUUAGGAUUGUAAAGUUCUUUCACCGGGGACGAUAAUGACGGUACCCGGAGAAGAAGCCCCGGCUAACUUCGUG